rnacentral:lncRNA from 1 species
GGUUGUUGAAUUCUGAUGUCAGAAGCCAACGCCACUCGUACUCCCUGUACUGGAACUCAGCAGGGGUACCUGAACAUGCGUUCCCGUGCGUAGUCCAGUGGGUCCGCAACUCGUUCUUCCACUCCUUGUACCUACAGAUACAACAAAAAUAUUAGAAAUAUUAUUAAUAUCACAUACAAUUUUGUUUUUCAUUAACUUCCCAACGUACCUUCCCCCAUGCACAACAUCGGCCCAGCUGUCCUUCAGGUGCUCGGGAACCUCAAACCACACCUGCAUUUAAUCGUUUAUUGGUUUAUUUUUUCGAGAAAUCAAUAAUGUAAUACAUAAUAUUAUUUUGUAAACUCACCGACAUCGCGUUGUGGACCAUGUCCUUAACCUCCUGCGGGACCUCGCCCUAGUCUGACCACAACAUAGGGACUCUAUCCCUAAUAAGCGCUCCCACGCGGCCGGAGUACGUCCUCGACUUCCCGCCCGAUACUAUGUGGCCAUCCCCGUCAGUAUUGAUGACGAUCCUCCCCACGGUACCCACGAUCUUCUCGAGAGCCUUCCCUGUGACGGGGCCUCUCUUCUUCUUUGUCGGCUUCGCUCCGACGGUGCCUAUCACAUGAUAAACCAAAUUGAUUAUUAAAAUCGGAGACCCUUUAUUAUUAAUUAUAAGAAAAGUAAUCAUGCAUCACUGAUUACUUGAUGCGCUCGCGGCGGACGCGACGGAUUCCGUCUCUGUCACCGAUGAUGAUACCCUUGCGGAAAUAAGAGACGUAUCAAAAGGCACAAACCGGUAUGCCGCUGAUGGAGCCACUGGCGGGGGCAGUGGAUAAAUCGGCGUCCCUGAGCCAUCGACUACAGGUAAGGCCGGUAUCAUCCGCGGAAGGAACAGAUGAGGCGGCGGCAUCUGUACCCCAGAUGACCCACUAUCUAAAGAAGUAGGACCCGGAGUGGGUGCCCGGUGUAUCUCAGGCAUACGGGGUGCAGACACCUCCGUCUGGGUCUGAGGCCACAACUGCCUCGAGGAACGAGGGACGGUCGCCUGCCUCGAUGAAAGGGCACCUCCGGCUGCCUCUGCGCCGUCUCCAGAAGGCUCGCACGUCUAGCUGUCAUCUGGCCCUGAAACGUCGUUUGGGGGUUGCUAAAGGUUCCCUCAGACGAUUCGGACCUUUGGCCCUUCGAACUCUUCUUCGAUCUAAAAUAGCCGCUCAUCUUAUUUAAAAUAUUAAUUUGAAUCAAGGCUGAGGCAACAUUGAAAAAGUAAAAAUUCAAUCUUAUCCUUCUCAAAUCUAAGGCUUUAGAUUAUUUUGUCUUUAUUCUAUAAAAAAUAUUUUUUGAAACCAUAUUUUUUCAUUAUGUUCAUGCUUAAAUUUAAACACUU